UUGAACGCUGGCGGCAGGCGUAACACAUGCAAGUCGAACGGUAACAGGGAUCAGCUUGCUGAUUCGCUGACGAGUGGCGGACGGGUGAGUAAUGUCUGGGAAACUGCCUGAUGGAGGGGGAUAACUACUGGAAACGGUAGCUAAUACCGCAUAACGUCGCAAGACCAAAGAGGGGGACCUUCGGGCCUCUUGCCAUCGGAUGUGCCCAGAUGGGAUUAGCUAGUAGGUGGGGUAACGGCUCACCUAGGCGACGAUCCCUAGCUGGUCUGAGAGGAUGACCAGCCACACUGGAACUGAGACACGGUCCAGACUCCUACGGGAGGCAGCAGUGGGGAAUAUUGCACAAUGGGCACAAGCCUGAUGCAGCCAUGCCGCGUGUAUGAAGAAGGCCUUCGGGUUGUAAAGUACUUUCAGCGGGGAGGAAGGGAGUAAAGUUAAUACCUUUGCUCAUUGACGUUACCCGCAGAAGAAGCACCGGCUAACUCCGUG
rnacentral:rRNA from 1 species